GUGCAUCAAAAAACAUAACUCGACAUUGUAUUCUGCCAGUUUUGGUGACAGGAGGUAAAACAAGCCUGUCUGAGACCCAUUCCAAUCCCAGUGUGCUCCAGGUCUUGUGAGUGGAAGAUAAUAUGUGACAGUG
rnacentral:snoRNA from 1 species